rnacentral:rRNA from 1 species
UACGGGGGGGGCAAGCGUUGUCCGGAAUUAUUGGGCGUAAAGAGCUCGUAGGCGGCUUGUUGCGUCGGCUGUGAAAACCCAUGGCUCAACCGUGGGCUUGCAGCCGAUACGGGCAGGCUAGAGUUCGGUAGGGGAGACUGGAAUUCCUGGUGUAGCGGUGAAAUGCGCAGAUAUCAGGAGGAACACCGGUGGCGAAGGCGGGUCUCUGGGCCGAUACUGACGCUGAGGAGCGAAAGCGUGGGGAGCGAACAGG